rnacentral:rRNA from 1 species
GAACCUUACCUGGGCUCGAAAUGUAGUGGAAUCCGGCAGAAACGUCGGCGUCUAGCAAUAGACCGCUAUAUAGGUGCUGCAUGGCUGUCGUCAGCUCGUGUCGUGAGAUGUUGGGUUAAGUCCCGCAACGAGCGCAACCCUUAUCUUCAGUUGCUACCAUUUAGUUGAGCACUCUGACGAAACCGCCUCGGAUAACGGGGAGGAAGGUGGGGAUGACGUCAAGUCCUCAUGGCCUUUAUGUCCAGGGCUACACACGUGCUACAAUGGCCGGUACAAACCGCUGCAAACCCGCGAGGGGGAGCUAAUCGGAAAAAGCCGGCCUCAGUUCGGAUUGGAGUCUGCAACUCGCCUCCAUGAAGCUGGAAUCGCUAGUAAUCGUGGAUCAGCAUGCCACGGUGAAUACGUUCCCGGGCCUUGUCACACCGA